GGCGACGCCACAUUGCCCCCCCUUCCCGUGAUGCACCGCGGCUGCCCUGCGGCCGCCGCCGCGAUGAGCGACUCCAUCCGGGUCCUGGGCGCCGCUCCGGGUCAGCCUGCAGCAGAUUUGACCAGAAACGUUUGAGGCUUUGACACUGCUGCUACGACCUGCAGGUAUUGACAACCGUGCCUCGGAUUUAAAACACACCUGGUGGAAUUUGAGAUUACAUCUAUGGAAGAAGAUUGUAAUUUAACUCACAUUUUAAAAAGAGAAUUGAGUUUUAGAUACCUUUCUUGCUCUGCAUCUUGCUGUCUAUCCAGAGGUGAAGUCUCGAGAGCCCCUAAUGGUUAAAGGAAUAUGCUCUUAAAAUACUUGUUUCAUCACUUUCAGCCACCACACCUACGAUGCUGAUGUUGUCACACGCCACAUCCGUAAAGCCCCUGUUGUGGAAAAAUUGUGAACAAAACAUGUUAAACUGAAAACUUUGUAACAGGCAGCUAGUUGUAGUCAUGUCUCCUUUUAGUUAGGAUCUUUUACAAUUUAAAGUUUAAACACAUGCAUUAGAUCCAUAUUUUAAUCUAGCAGCCAGAUGUACCUAAGCAGAACCCUCCCGUGACCUAACUGUCAAAUAGUCCAGACCGGCACCCUAAACUUUCAGAGCUUGUGGGGGAGGAGAGUCUGAACAUUGCCUUUGCUGCAUGUUGCAUAAGCUCCUCCUGGAGUUUAAACUACACUACACUGCAGCUUCUCACACACAGACGCAGCAUCAAGACUAGCAAAGGCCCAACUAAUUAAAAAAUAAAGGUAUGACUUUUUUUGAAGGAGGAUUUACAGCAGAAGUUGACUUUAUACAAAAGAAUACUAUUAAAAUACAAAAACCACAUGCUCAGUUCGCUAAAAAUAUUUUACAUAUAAAAGGAAGGCUGACAUGGCCUUCAGCCAUUUAUCUUCUACAGUUGUUUGAACAGUAGAGCAAUCUAUUCCCAAAAAAAGAACAGGAGUACUUGUGGCACCUUAGAGACUAACAUUUAUUUCAGCAUAAGCUUUCAUGGGCUACAGCUCACUUCUUCGGAUGCACAGAAAAAAUAUGCAAAAAAGUAUCCCAAAAAGUUCACUUACAUUUGACCCUUCCCCCCCUUUGGAGACAGCUGUAGUGACAAUCUGCCCCAUCUAUUGCCAAUGUCACUUAAGCUUUCAAUGUACUGAGUUAUCCUCAUCUUUUUGUAAAUGGAAGCAAGUUAAUCAUAAUAAACAAAGGUUUGAUUUAUAUCACAACUUGCUAGCUUUAUCUAGUUACCACCUGAGCUGUCUUACCUUGACCAUCUGUGGGUUCCCCCUAGUAAGUAAUAGCGACUUGUCAGUGAAGAGAUUUUGUUUACUUUUUUCCAUGUGUACACACGGAGUGAGAGAUCGAAAGAUGAUGUGAUAACACGAAAAGCAUCCUUCCAAUUUAAAAUAAAAUACUGAAGUUAGAGAACAGUAAACAAUGCAAAUAAAAUUAGAACUAAACAGUUGAGAGACAUACCACCCAG